rnacentral:rRNA from 1 species
GAUGAACGCUAGCUACAGGCUUAACACAUGCAAGUCGAGGGGCAGCAUGGACAUAGCUUGCUAUGUUUGAUGGCGACCGGCGCACGGGUGCGUAACACGUAUCCAAUCUGCCCGUUACUCGGGGAUAGCCUUCUGAAAGGAAGAUUAAUACCCGAUGGCAUGUAUUUCCGGCAUCGGAGAUACAUUAAAGAUUUAUCGGUAACGGAUGAGGAUGCGUACGAUUAGCUUGUUGGCGGGGUAACGGCCCACCAAGGCGACGAUCGUUAGGGGUUCUGAGAGGAAGGUCCCCCACACUGGAACUGAGACACGGUCCAGACUCCUACGGGAGGCAGCAGUGAGGAAUAUUGGUCAAUGGUCGGAAGACUGAACCAGCCAAGUAGCGUGAAGGAUGACUGCCUUACGGGUUGUAAACUUCUUUUGUUUGGGAAUAAAAGACGCUACGUGUAGCGUUCUGCAUGUACCUUACGAAUAAGCAUCGGCUAAUUCCGUGCCAGCCGCCGCAGUAAUAC